rnacentral:lncRNA from 1 species
UUUGGUUUAAGUCAAGUUUUUAAGUGCUGCCUGUCACAGAAAGCAGCCUUCUUCUGCUCGCCCCUUCGGGAUCCCUGGGCGCACCCUCACCUCACAACACCGCGCCGCCCCGGGGAUCCUCCGCCGCACAGACCCCCGCCGCCUCCGGACACCCGCCUAGCUGGAGACGGGGACCCCCCCAGCCCAAACUGAAGGCGGCUGGAAGGAAGGGAAUCAGCCUAAUUCAGCCGCCCCCGAUAAUGGCACGGGGAACAUGCAGGAAACCAGUUUUCCUUCUGACUGCCUACAGACCAUGAGGAAAUUCUACUCUGCUCCUUACCAAGCAUUCCAGGCUUUGCUACUUGCAUCAGUGAUGGCUUGGUGUAGAAAGAAAAGCCAACAAGCUCCAGAGUAUUCACCAGAAAUUCUGCCCUACUCAAGUCAGGAUGCAAUACUUGCCUUAGUAAUUUUCUCCCUCUUGUCCUUUCUGCCCAAUGUGAAUCUACAAUGUUUGAAGGAUGCAAGCCCUGUGUAUGAACAGGAGGCAACCUCUUGUUUGUGUGAUGAGAAACAUAAUUUUGAGGAACUUGGUAGGUUCUUGAAAAGACAGAAUGGAAACAGAAUCUCAUUUCCUCUUUCUUUGGCAUCCAUUUUUGGUUACUUAUUAAUUCUAAGGAAAGAGUAACAUUGGAGAAAAGCAUUAAAUGGGAGACACUCAACACUGGCUUUUCUUCUGUAACUCUGAAGUGCAAUGGUUAAUUGAUGGCCAGACCUGUGAAUGUGACUAUAUGACUGAGAUGCGUAGGGGUAAUGACAUGAGUUUGGAAAACUACUUUCAGAGGCAAAUAAAGAGUAUUACAUACAUUGCA